rnacentral:lncRNA from 1 species
UGCCGUAGCACACUGCCACACCUUGAGGCUGGAAACCACACAUAUGUAUCCUCUCACAGUGCUGCAAAGGCCCAGGAGGGCUGGCUCCUUCUGGAGUCUCAGAGGGAGAAACCCUUCUGGUCUCUCUCCAGGGGAGAGGUGGUGGGGCUGGCAGAUCUUGGCACUCCAUGGCUUUCAGACAUGUCACUCCAACCUCUGCCUGUUUUCACGGGGAGCUCUCUCUAUGGUCUGUGGGUGCCCAUUUCCCUCCUCCUGCAAGCAGCUAGGGUAGGGUCCAUCCUAAUCCCACACGAGCUCCUCCCCACACUGUGCCAGCUUCAAAGACCCAUUUCCCACACGAGCUCACCUUCAUAGGAUCUGGGGCUUAGGUCUUCCAGCUUCCUUCCAAGGGGACCCGCUCCCACCCAGCUCUGAGGUAUUACCAAAUGUUCAUCCCUGCCCUUCAGAGAACCCCUGGGCAUGAUAAAGUUGGUUGAGUUCAGGCCCCGUCCAGCCCUACCGGUUGUCUGAAGCCAGUGCUGAUCCCUGAAGUCACUUUCUCAUCUUGAUUAGAGGUCCCUGAGGCUUGCUCAUUGGCAGGGCAAGGGGUCAGGGAGGUGGUGAAGGAAGGGGAGGAUGGUGGUGUCAUAAGGGUUACCAUGUUUCCCAAGCCAGAUCCCACUUGAAGGGGGCUCUGCUGCCUCUUGUGGCUGCAGAGUGGAGCCAUGUUACAUGGCAAUUUAGAGCCCAAAGGUCUGCAAAGCAAAUAUCACAUCAAGUGAACAUUAUACUGGAAAAGGACCUCAGUGGUAAAGCCAACAAUUGGUCUCUUUUGUUUGCCUCUGUACUUGGGCCAAGGUUUCCCAGGGCAGGGGUACUUGGGGUCUCGGCCCAGCUGUGGUGUGUGUCUGAAGAGUUCGAGUCUCUGUGCUUGCACCUGCACCCUGAUCCCCCAGCUGUCCCUCCACAAGAGCCAGCCCUGCACAUGACUUCACAAUGGUGCCCAGAGCCACACAGCACUGUAGAGACUCACACCUCUGGCCUCCUUUCCCUGACCCAAGCCUCCGUCUUCCCUGCAGCAGAAGCCUGUAUGUGAACAAAUCUGAAACCGAGAUUCGAGGAACAUGGCAUUCCCUUGUUGAGAAGCCUUCUCAGCCAUGGAGAGAAGUUCACUUUCAGAUUAAUUUGAAAUUGCUGCCCGGAUUUAAAAGGUGUGUCUCCAUCAACCUUCUUUUGAUCACUUACAAACUCAUGGGACUCUAAGUAAUUGGGCAACAUGGAGGUGCCCAGGAGGAAUGAGAAAUGAUCCUGCCAUUCCACGGAAUGUGGCACGUAGAAGGCCCACAACAAAUAUGCAGGUGACCUGGACAGCUGGCCAGUGGGGUUCCAGGACUGGCCAUGUGGAGGAAGUCACUGAGUUCCUGCUCAAUGUGUUUACAGUGCAGUAACCAGAAAGAUAGCCAGUGAGAAGGAAGGAUGGGAGCAGAGAGAAAGAGCCAGCUGAGCACAUCAGGGCUCUGAUAAGGAGCCCACUCCCAACUCUUCUUUUCAUGCCACUCACCUCCCUCAGCCACCACUGCAGACCACAUCACUCCAAUUUUUUGCCCUCUCUGUAGCCAUACCCUUUGCCAUGUGCCUGCACAUCUAUCUCCAUUAUAGGCCUGGAGUGUGUUUGAACCAAUGACUUGGGUUCAUCUGUGUGACUUGUGUGACCCAGCAGAAUACAAAGGCAUGAUGUGCACCAGAGGCAAGCCUUGAUCCCAAGAGUACUCAUGCAUUUACAUUUUUCUUCUUGUCCUCUUACCAUCAUCAUGAGCUAAAGGUGCUUAGUAAGUCCCCCUCCUCCUUCUCAGAGGAAAGAGAGACUGAUCAGAGUCAUCUUGGCCAAACCUGUCUAGAUCAUCCAACCCUCUACUGAAACUCAGAAGAGACAUUGCUGUUCUCAGCCACUGAGAUAGGGGUGAUUUGUUAUGCAGCAGCAUUAUGGCAACAGCUGUCUGACACAUCCUUCCCAUGGAUUGCUCAAUUUUCCCCACUCUGCAUGUUUGAGGCAUUCACAUCACCUAUCACAUCCACACCAGCAGCUUCUCUGCUUGCUGUUCUAGUGUUGUUUUCCUAAAACUCUCUAGCACCACCACUGAUCUCUCAGUUGACCGAUGACCCUUAUAUCUAUAUGUCCAUCUUCCUCUGGCCCCUGACCAUCCGGUCAUCCUGACCUCAGCCCCUCACCCUUGUGCUUAGCAUGCAUCCCUCUCUUCUCUCACCUCCUCCCACUGCUUCUGGCCUUGCAGUAUGGGCUGGUGCCCACCUCCUUGCAGGGAGGAAUUUAGAGGUGCUCUGAAAAGGCGUUAUUCAUACAUGAGAUGCUGUCACUGCUGACAGGGUAGGUAGGUUCCCCUGUGGACUCAGUGACCUCCAAUGCCGAGAUCUCCUGGCAGAGGAAG